rnacentral:lncRNA from 1 species
CCCAGUGAACCCUUCCAGGGCAGAGGGGCCUUUGGAGAGAGGGAAUGGGCUGGGCAAAAGCCUGGGAGCCCCUGCCCGCUAGGGCAGCAGGGGGAGCCAGCCCAGGGGUCUGGGUCUGAUGCAGCAGCAGCAGCAAGAAGCCUGGAAGGCUCCUGGUGACCUAAUCUUUGCGGAUGGGCGGGAUGGGGCUCCCGGGGGGACGGGCUGGGGGGUUCCUCGUUCCUCCGGCUUGAGCAUAGGCCCAGCUGCCACCCAAGCAGCCCCCCAGGGAAAUCCUUGAUGCAGAGAAGUGUCGAGAAGCCGGGUGGUGCUGGUCUCGGAGCCGGGGUGGGCUAGCGCGGCAGCCAAGGGGCCUGCGGGUUCCAGACCGCACCCCAUCCGGGGAGCUGACCCUGGAAAGGGCAGGGCAGCCUGGCCUGCUGGUUGUAGAGGAGCCAGCAGCAUCCUGGUCAUGGGGGCAGAACAAAGAUGCCCUUUAGGUCUGAGCUCCGGGCCCUGGCUUCCAUGGGGAGGGGGUGGUGUGACAGUGGCUCCAGAGGCCAGAGAGAGGGAACAGGGCUGGAACCUUUCCUCUCAAAGAAAAUGAAGCCUUUCCCUGGAGCUGUGAUGGAGGCGUGGAGUCUGAGACCUGGGGUGCACGUGCUCGCUCGGAGGGUCUCCAUGGAGUAAGGCAGGUGCAUCACCUCCCAGGACUGGCCGCCUGUUUGCUGCAACGCAGCCAGAAAAUAUUCCUGGAUUUGGUGUGAGAUUGGCAUGCACGUGUGCCAAUUUGUAAAUACUUCUGGAAAAUGCCCUUCGCCCGAGAGGCACUUGGCGUUGCUCCUGCCUGGUGUGUGGUCGGCGGGCCUGGGGAAAGGCUGAAGGUGAGCGGAGCCAGGAAGCCACCUGGGACGAGGCAGCCGGAGGAGGCUCUGCGCAGGAAGGGCGGUGGCCCACAGGCCUUUCCUGGAGGCUACGCGGGGCACCCGCUCCCCAUCUGCUCGUGACUCCGCGAGUCACGCUUUGCCAAAUUUCUGGGUGGGGCCUCGUGCUCUGGCACUUCCCUCUCCAAACCUUGCACCCAGGCCUGCUCCCACGGCUGGCACUGCUGCAGGUGGGGCCCCUGUGCUUGAGAUGGAGGCGCCUGUGACAGAUGCUCACCCAAUGCUCAUGUUGUCCCAGGCAGCCUGGCAGCCAGGCUGGGCACUGGGCCCUAACCAUCCAACAAGUCAGAGCUGUUCAAAACGGGGCAGAGACCACGGGGCACAACCACCAUCCAGGCAGGGGGCAGGAUGGGGAGAAAUCUGCUGUUGGUGAUGUGUUUUGAGAAAACUGGAGAAAUUUGAAUGUUGGCUAUUAUGAAAGGUGAACAUUUAUUGACAUGGAAAAGCGGAUUAUUAACUGAAAAAGCAUUUAAAAAAGGAUGUGUGCUCUGAACUCAUUUUGGAGAAAAUACCGAUGGGCAUUAAUAGUGAUAUGGACUGGGUGCUGGGACAUUUUUUUCCCCUUAUUUUUGUGGAUCUGUGUUUUCUCACACUUAAAAAAAAUUUCUUUGUCAACGUUUUCCAGCAUCUACAAUGCACAUACACCCCUUGUAUUAAAAGCGUCUUUUUAAUUAAAAUAUGUUUAGUAAAAAUUGCUACCCUGCAAGAUAGCAACCCUGGGGCUGCCUGAGUCAUGAACGGAGCCAAGGUCAAAGAGGAUGGAAGAACCAGCCUCUCUGAGCCUUUGCUCCCAGCCUCGGCUUAGAACCUGAACCCCAUCCGAGUUUGGUCCAGGAUCCAGGAAGUUCUGAUAACUGCAGAGUCAAAAACAGAGUUGACUCUGAGAUGAUGAGUGAUUAAUAUAUAUAUUAAAAAAAAAGAAUCCCAGCCCGGGGGUUCUCUCCCGAACCAGCCCAGGCAUGGUCCAAACCUCUCCGUGUAUGAAAAAGUCUAACUCCAUUUUAAUAGUGGGUUGGGUGAAAAAAAAAAAGCAGAAUUUGAAAGAUAAAGUUGUUAAACAUGAUUUUUUUUUUUUUUUCCUGCUUCUCACCUGGAGGGCCUGUGGGACCAUCCAGACCUACGUCGGAGCCCAAAGUGAUAAGGACACUGAGAGACAGAGGAUUUGGGAUCAGAGAGGCUGAGAUAAACCACAUUUACUGCCCUGGGAAACCCGUUUCUCUGGGCCUUAUUUCCUCUUUCAGGAGGGCGGAGAGGUUGCCGGGCCUCCCCUGGCAUGUGGGCCUCUCACGAGAGACCAGCUGUUUGAUGGUGGCUCAACCCUUCCGGGUCCUGCAUGGUGGGCGGCCGAGAUAGACGGUGGCCUGCCCAUUUAAUGGCAUCCCAUGGAUGGAACCACUGCUGGGCCCCUGUACCACCCCCGGCCAGGCCUCUCCUGGCACCAUUCCUUGACCUGGUUUUGCUUCUGUCCUUCAGCCCAGCCCCAUUCCUUCCUGGGUCGCUCCUACACAGGGCUCUCUCCUCCGUGGGAGCGUUGAGGUGACAGGUCCCUGCUCCCCUGAGCUGCCUCCCUGAUGCAGUGGAGGUUCUGUGGGAGGGAGAAAGCAGAAGGUGGAGCAGGAAGGACAGUGUCCCCCCCGGCAAUUUUCCCAUGCCAUCCACUUCUGGAGAGGGGGACACAGCCCGUUCUGUCCUCAGGCUCUAUAAUCUAGCGAGGAACACAUCUAGAAAGGAUGCUAUUUGGAAAAAAUGUUUAUCGUCCAACAGCUGCAAGGUUAAGGCCUUUCUUUCCCAGGACUGUUCCUUCCAGCUCAGCAGGUGAGCAGACACCUGCUCAGCUCCGGGCCACCAACUUGCUCAUCAUCCCACUGUUUCGGCCAGUUUAGGGCAAAGCUGAUCUAGUUCUCUUCCUGGCUGGAAGGUGUGGCCAGGGGGCAGAUCUGGGGCUGCCUGGCUGUGCUUGCCUUGGGCCCCGACACCUGCCGGCAGGUGCAGAGCAGGUGGCGCUGUUUUUAUUUUCUGUUUAUUUUUGUCUUUCUGGGGCUGCACUCAUGGCAUAGGGAGGUUCCCAGGCUAUGGGCUGAACUGGAGCUGUAGCUGCUGGCCUACACCAGAGCCACAGCAAUGUGGGAUCUGAGCUGCAUCUGCGACCUACACCACAGCUCACGGCAACGCCGGAUCCUUGAUCCGCUGAGCAAGGCCAGGGAUUGAACCUGUGUCCUUAUGGAUACUAGUCAGAUUCGUUUCUGCUGAGCCACGACGGGAAGGAAUUCCAUGCACUGUUUUUAACAGUCAGCGAUGUGGCUGAUUAUGAUGGGUUCUUGGAGGAAUUUGUAUUUGUUUUUCUGGACAUCUGUUCUCUAAAACUGAUCGUAUUAUUUAGAU